UGUGGUCAUUUACAAAUUUUACGUACUGUAUUAUAAAUAUGCAUUUUGUUUUUAUAAUUUGUUUUGUAAUUAAUGUGUUUAUGUUUUCAGUUAUUUCCUCAAAUGCACUUUAAGUAAUGAGUUAAAAUGUUAGUUAAGUAAAAUGUGAUGUAUUGUAAAUUGAUUGAGUUCACUUUAAAUGUAAGGCGCAAAUGCGUCACGUUCGGCGGAAGUGACGAUCUUUCUAGUUGCCGCGAUGGACUGACGAUGAGCGAACAUUUGUGAUUGUCCGCGUGUAUUGUACUUUAAAGUUUAUUAUAUUGUAAAAGAUCUACAAGAAGAUCAUGCAGCUUUAAGGACUAUAAGACCUCUUUCGCAACCAAGCAGCCAACGAGUUCUCACGGCGUGAACGCUACAAGUUUUCAAGAAUAAACGCCCGUUUAAAGAA